UGAAAUAGCUCAAUUGGUAGAGCAACUGAAUCGUAAUCAGUAGGUUGGGGGUUCGAUUCCUCUUUUCAGC
rnacentral:tRNA from 1 species